AUGGGAGACAUGAAUGACAUCUUGUACGAUAUGGACAAAAGUACUCCCUUUGUUAAUACUACUCAAAUGUAUGCUUUUCGGAAUCUAGUCAAGUCAUGUGGUUUGAUAGAUCUUGGAUAUAGUGGUCCUGCUUAUACCUGGACUAAUAAACGGUUUUCCACAAAUCCUACUUAUGAAAGGCUUGAUAGAUGUUUGGUUAACACCGAGUGGUGUGCUAUCUAUCCGAAUACAAAUGUCUAUAAUCUGCCUAUUACCUUAAGUGAUCAUGGACAUAUCCUUAUCUCUACUGAUGGCAAGUUUCGAAAACCUUUGCAAAGCUUCAAAUUUGAAAAUUGGUGGCUUAUGGAAAAGGAUUUUGACUCGUAUGUAAAGGCGGUUUGGAUCACUUCGGCUCAUAAACCUUUCUAUGCUAGAACUAACCAUCUUGCAGGUUCUCUCAAAAGAUGGUGCAAAAAGAAAAGGCCAAUCAACCAGGAGCUCAACUACCUUGAGGAACAAAUAAAAAAUGUUCAGAUGAAGCCAAUACAGGAACAAGACCACAAGUUGGAGGCCUCUUUAAUAAAUAGGUAUGAAGAGAACAUGACAAAACUCACUGAAUAUUAUAGUCAAAGGGCGAAAAAGCAUUGGGCAACAAAAGGGGAUAGAAAUACUUCUUACUUUCAUCAGGCUGUACUUAAAAGAAGAAGGAAGAACCAAAUUGUUUCCGUCAAAGAUAAUAGCAAUAUAACUCAUUUUAAACCUGAAAAUAUUGCUCAUACCUUUGUUUAG
rnacentral:rRNA from 1 species